UCCUUGGUGGCUUAGCUGGUAAAGAAUCUGCCUGCAAUGCAGGAGACCCGGGUUUGAUCCCUGGAUUGGGAA
rnacentral:tRNA from 1 species